rnacentral:rRNA from 1 species
CCUACGUGAGGCAGCAGUGGGGAAUAUUGCACAAUGGGGGGAACCCUGAUGCAGCGACGCCGCGUGAGUGAAGAAGGAUUUCGGUAUGUAAAGCUCUUUCAGCAGGGAAGAAAAUGACGGUACCUGACUAAGAAGCCCCGGCUAACUACGUGCCAGCAGCCGCGGUAAUACGUAGGGGGCAAGCGUUAUCCGGAUUUAUUGGGUGUAAAGGGAGCGUAGACGGUUAUGCAAGUCUGAAGUGAAAGCCCAAGGAUCAACCAUGGGACUGCUUUGGAAACUGUAAAACUGGAGUGCAGGAGAGGUAGGCGGAAGUCCUGGUGUAGCGGUGAAAUGCGUAGAUAGUAGGAGGAACACCGGUGGCGAAGGCGGCUUACUGGGCUGUAACUGACGUUGAGGCUCGAAGGCGUGGGGAGCAAACAGGAUUAGAUACCCGAGUAGUC